AGCUGUCCUUCCACGACACUGUUGGAUGAAAGACAUGUCUCCACCCAAAUUCUUUUGCUUGACCCACUAUGGAGAUUUUUCUCUGGCUUCUUCAGUCUGAAUUCUAGACAGGGCUUGACCGGCGUAAGUAAGCAAGAGAAUGGCUUCAGCUGCACACGUGAGGGCGCAGAGAACUGACUACUACCCACGCGGGACCCUGGGUCCACGGGGACAACCCCACAAGACUGCAGCUACCUUCUGCCCGAUGAAUCUUCCCCAGUCUUUUGUCUCUGUGGUUUGGUGCUUACCUUUUUUUUCUUUCUGCCUCUACUGAACUUCAUGAAAUAUGAUCUUUUAAUAGACA
ensembl:lncRNA novel transcript, antisense to CDK2AP1